rnacentral:rRNA from 1 species
GAUGAACGCUGGCGGCGUGCCUAAUACAUGCAAGUCGAGCGAACAGACGAGGAGCUUGCUCCUCUGACGUUAGCGGCGGACGGGUGAGUAACACGUGGAUAACCUACCUAUAAGACUGGGAUAACUUCGGGAAACCGGAGCUAAUACCGGAUAAUAUAUUGAACCGCAUGGUUCAAUAGUGAAAGACGGUUUUGCUGUCACUUAUAGAUGGAUCCGCGCCGCAUUAGCUAGUUGGUAAGGUAACGGCUUACCAAGGCAACGAUGCGUAGCCGACCUGAGAGGGUGAUCGGGCACACGGGAACUGAGGCACGGUCCAGACUCCGACGGGGAGCCACCGUUGGGAAUCCUCCGGAAUGGGGCAAAGGCUGACGGGGCAAAGCCGGGGUAGUGAUGAAGGUCCUCGGAUCGGUAAACUCUGUUAUUAGGGAAGAACAAAUGUGUAAGUAACUGUGCACGUCUUGACGGUACCUAAUCAGAAAGCCACGGCUAACUACGUG